GAUGAACGCUGGCGGCGUGCCUAAUACAUGCAAGUCGAGCGUACAGAUAAGGAGCUUGCUCCUUUGAAGUUAGCGGCGGACGGGUGAGUAACACGUGGGUAACCUACCUAUAAGACUGGGAUAACUGCGGGAAACCGGAGCUAAUACCGGCUAACAUUUAGAACCGCAUGGUUCUAAAGUGAAUGAUGGUUUUGCUAUCACUUAUAGAUGGACACGCGCCGUAUUAGCGCGUUGGUAAGGUAACGGCUUACCAAGGUGACGAUACGUAGCCGACCUGCGAGGGUGAGCGGCCACACUGGAACUGAGACACGGUCCAGACUCCUACGGGAGGCAGCAGUAGGGAAUCUUCCGCAAUGGGCGAAAGCCUGACGGAACAACGCCGCGUGAGUGAUGAAGGGUUUCGGCUCGUAAAACUCUGUUAUUAGGGAAGAACAAAUGUGUAAGUAACUGUGCACAUCUUGACGGUACCUAAUCAGAAAGCCACGGCUAACGACGUGCCAGCCGCCGCCGUAA
rnacentral:rRNA from 1 species